CCUACGGGAGGCAGCAGUGAGGAAUAUUGGUCAAUGGACGAGAGUCUGAACCAGCCAAGUAGCGUGAAGGAUGACUGCCCUAUGGGUUGUAAACUUCUUUUAUAUGGGAAUAAAACGUUCCACGUGUGGGAUUUUGUAUGUACCAUAUGAAUAAGGAUCGGCUAACUCCGUGCCAGCAGCCGCGGUAAUACGGAGGAUCCGAGCGUUAUCCUGAUUUAUUGGGUUUAAAGGGAGCGUAGGUGGAUUGUUAAGUCAGUUGUGAAAGUUUGCGGCUCAACCGUAAAAUUGCAGUUGAAACUGGCAGUCUUGAGUACAGUAGAGGUGGGCGGAAUUCGUGGUGUAGCGGUGAAAUGCUUAGAUAUCACGAAGAACUCCGAUUGCGAAGGCAGUUCACUGGACUGCAACUGACACUGAGGCUCGAAAGUGUGGGUAUCAAACAGGAUUAGAUACCCUUGUAGUC
rnacentral:rRNA from 1 species